UUUUGCGCCCAAAUCCUCCGCC
rnacentral:miRNA from 1 species